GAUGAACGCUGGCGGCGUGCCUAAUACAUGCAAGUCGAGCGAACGGACGAGAAGCUUGCUUUUCUGAUGUUAGCGGCGGACGGGUGAGUAACACGUGGAUAACCUACCUAUAAGACUGGGAUAACUUCGGGAAACCGGAGCUAAUACCGGAUAAUAUUUUGAACCGCAUGGUUCAAAAGUGAAAGACGUUCUUGCUGUCACUUAUAGAUGGAUCCGCGCUGCAUUAGCUAGUUGGUAAGGUAACGGCUUACCAAGGCAACGAUGCAUAGCCGACCUGAGAGGGUGAUCGGCCACACUGGAACUGAGACACGGUCCAGACUCCUACGGGAGGCAGCAGUAGGGAAUCUUCCGCAAUGGGCGAAAGCCUGACGGAGCAACGCCGCGUGAGUGAUGAAGGUCUUCGGAUCGUAAAACUCUGUUAUUAGGGAAGAACAUAUGUGUAAGUAACUGUGCACAUCUUGACGGUACCUAAUCAGAAAGCCACGGCUAACUACGUG
rnacentral:rRNA from 1 species